UUCGCAGCAGUGAGGAAUAUUGGUCAAUGGGCUUACGCCUGAACCAGCCAAGUCGCGUGAGGGAAGACUGCCCUAUGGGUUGUAAACCUCUUUUGUCAGGGAGCAACGCCGGCUACGUGUAGCCGGACUGAGAGUACCUGAAGAAAAAGCAUCGGCUAACUCCGUGCCAGCAGCCGCGGUAAUACGGAGGAUGCGAGCGUUAUCCGGAUUUAUUGGGUUUAAAGGGUGCGUAGGCGGAAUGCCAAGUCAGCGGUAAAAUCGCGGGGCUCAACCUCGCUCCGCCGUUGAAACUGGCGUUCUUGAGG
rnacentral:rRNA from 1 species